rnacentral:lncRNA from 1 species
UUGAGUUUUAAAAAUGUUUCUUAAUUUUGAAAACCCGCGCAGCCUAACACUAGCAGUUUCGACAUAGUACAAAUAUAAUCAGUAAAUAAAAACCAUAGCGAAAGAAGAGAUUUAAAUAGCGGCCUUAUUACAACUUAAAACCCAAAACUAAAUUAGAAUAUAAAAAUAAUAAAAAUAAACUAACUUAGAAACACCAACUUUGCAGAUGAUGUGACCACUCCGAAUCCCUCACAG